rnacentral:rRNA from 1 species
GAACAACUCUGCAACACGGAUAUCUUGGCUCUGCACGAUGAAGAACGCAGCGAUGGAUAAGUAAUGGAUUGCAGAAUUCCGGAAUCAUCGA